CCCUUAGAUGUUCUGGGCCGCACGCGCGCUACAAUGAUGCAAUCAACGAGUGCAGUACCUUAACCGAAAGGUUUGGGAAAACUUGCAAAUUGCAUCGUGUUAGGGAUAGAUGAUUGCAAUUAUUCAUCUUGAACGAGGAAUGCCUUGUAAGCGUGAGUCAUCAACUCGCGCUGAAUACGUCCCUGCCCUUUGUACACACCGCCCGUCGCUCCUACCGAUUGGAUGGUCCGGUGAAAUGUUCGGAUUUAAACGUUUGCGCGGGUGCGACAAAACGUCUAGAAAAGUUCAUUGAGCCUUACCAUCUAGAGGAAGGAGAAGUCGUAACA
rnacentral:rRNA from 1 species